GACGAACGCUGGCGGCGUGCUUAACACAUGCAAGUCGAGCGGUAAGGCCCUUUCGGGGGUACACGAGCGGCGAACGGGUGAGUAACACGUGGGUGACCUGCCCUCAGCUCUGGGAUAAGCCUGGGAAACCGGGUCUAAUACUGGAUAUGACUCCAUGACGCAUGUUGUGGGGUGGAAAGCCUUGUGCGGCUGAGGAUGGGCCCGCGGCCUAUCAGCUUGUUGGUGGGGUGANGGCCUACCAAGGCGACGACGGGUGCCGGCCUGAGAGGGCGACCGGCCACACUGGGACUGAGACACGGCCCAGACUCCUACGGGAGGCAGCAGUGGGGAAUCUUGCGCAAUGGGCGAAAGCCUGACGCAGCGACGCCGCGUGA
rnacentral:rRNA from 1 species